UGCUUUUGUAACAAUAUAAUGCUCAGGAACCAUAAAAGUAGCUGAAUGGCAUAACCCUUCUCUAGGUUGUCAUAUACAUAAAGGAAAACAGGUUUUAAAAACAACCACUUAGGUUCAUCACUGCAUACUCUAUUGAGACACAGAUGUCCUUCGGCUUUGCACCUGAAAGAGUAAAGUAGAAGAAAUAGCAAGCAAUGAAUCUCAACAGGUUUUUGACGCCUUCAGGAAUACACUAAACCAACCUGGAAGUGCAGAAAAGUGUGCCAAAACAGACGCACCAGCAUAUACCACUGCUCAAUCUAGAGGUAACCUCAGUACAGUCAUUUGGGAGACAAAGGUUUUAUGUCAUUUGGAGGAGUGGAAACAGAGAAAACCCACGCACACACACUUAUUGCAAGCACAUACUGGUGGAAUAGUUACAGGAAACUGAAGUGUGGAGAAGCAGGCUCACAGCUGCAGAAGUGCAGUCUGCUGUGACAUGUGCUGCUGGACAGCAAUUGGCACGCUGCUGAGGACUUUCUGCUUUUACUGUCUAACUGAAAUGUAUUUACAAAAUAUGCAUUUUGAUUUUACACAUUUCUUAUCAAUUUCCUUUACUUCUAAGAGAGAGAAAGUGUCUGUCCACGCACUAGUUAAAAAGAUAUAAAGAAUGAUUGAAUUUAUCACCCAAAGAAAGUUGCAUUUAAAAAAUAUCUGGUUAGAAUGAAGAACAAACUGAAUAAAUUAAUGUGUCUUCCUUUGUUCUCCAUCAGUUUAUUGCAAGCAUGAUCAGCAAUCAGUCUCUCUGGAAGCACUUGCUGUGGACUGUGCAAGCAGUUUAAAUUUUUGAAAUCUGGAAAACCAAAAAUCUAGCCAGCACCAGAGAGUGUAUGCUUUAACUUAGGCUGUUGGAUCCACCUCACAGCAGCAGUCAGACUGUCACAAGAUACGUUUAUCCUGUGGGGCUUGGGAGACUUCCAGUCCUUAAAUCCAAAGUAAUGCCCUGUUGUGCCCAUAUUCUCAUGUGCACAUGUCAAAUGUUCCUGCUUCAUCCAGACAGACACUAUCCCCCACUUUCCUGUGCUCUGGUUUUCACAGAAAGGAACAGAGCAUGAACAGAGCACAGUGAUCUUGAUCCUUAGAAGCCAGGACAUGGUCAGACGCAACCAUGCUGUCCAUAACUGCACUUUGAUCAGAAGGCUUCCCUUACUGUUUAAAGAAAUGAAUGAGAACAAUAUGAUUUCUACAGUGGGUUGGAAGAUAUACCUAAAAUGUAAUUUUUUUGACUUUGUGCCUCUUUCCUGUGCCCAAUCUUUGCAGCAUGCUUGCUCCUAUUUCUCUGUUUUGAGUGACUAAAAAAAUCAAACUGAAAUUAAAUUGUUAUGUACUGUA